UCUGCCCAUGCUCUGAAUGUCAAAGUGAAGAAAUUCAACCAAGCGCGGGUAAACGGCGGGAGUAACUAUGACUCUCUUAAUUGAUCUCUGGCCGGAACUACGUGCAAGCCUGUGCACUACGCACGCAAACUCUACCAACCCGAGAGGCAGUUUCCAGGGGAAGAUCCGGCACCAAUAACAUCUGCCGAAACUGCGGGUUGGAAGAGGAGACAUUAUCCCACAUUCUGCAGAACUGCCAUCGAACUAAUAAGAUAAGGAUACAUCGACACAACGCAGUUCUGCAGAUAUUAACUCAACAUCUUUGCAGGAGGAAUUGGAGAAUCCAAGAAGAGCCACUGAUCCCAACUCCUGGGGGUAAUGUUAUUAAGCCAGAUGUCUUGGCGACGGAUCCGGAGGGAAACCUCUAUGUCAUAGACGCAGCGUGCCCGUACGAAGGGGGAGGCGACUCCCUCUCGAGGGCCGCUGCGGCGAAAGUGGAAAAAUACUCCGCCUACGAAACAUCUAUUCGGCGGUACAUAGGGAGGACCCCACGAAAGACCAUCUUCGUCGGAUUCGUGGUGGGGGCUCGUGGCGCCAUGCCACCUCAGACACAAGAGUUCUGCAAGCAGGUAGGUCUUGGUAAGGGCAAAUUACAUCUUAUGUCAGUACGGGCCAUAGAAGGAAGCCUCAAAAUCUUCCGAUUAUUUAUGGCCCUGUAGUGUUAAAACUCGGG
rnacentral:ncRNA from 1 species